AGCGAACGCUGGCGGCGUGCCUAACACAUGCAAGUCGAACGUGAAAAGGGAAACCUGAGUAAAGUGGCGUACGGGUGAGUAACGCGUAGGUAAUCUACCCCAGAAUCUGGAAUAACCUGCCGAAUGGCGGGCUAAUACUGGAUAGAGCGAGGGAACUCGUAAGAGAGUUUUUCGGGAAAGGGAGCCCGCAAGGGCCUUCGGUCUGGGCUGAGCCUGCGUCUCAUUAGCUAGUUGGUAAGGUAACGGCUUACCAAGGCGAUGAUGAGUAGCUGGUCUGAGAGGAUGAUCAGCCACGCUGGUACGGGAACACGGUCCAGACUCCUGCGGGAGACAGCAGUGGGGAAUCUUGCGCAAUGGACGAAAGUCUGACGCAGCCACGCCGGGUGAGUGAAGAAGGCCUUCGGGUUGUAAAGGUCUGUCGGAUGGGACGAACAUCUUCAUAGUGAAUAGCUAUGAGGACUGACGGUACCAUCAAAGGAAGCACCGGCUAACUCCGUG
rnacentral:rRNA from 1 species